CUGAGCUAUGAUAUAUCAAAAUGCAAGUUUUUCGUAUACAGUUAUUUCUCUACAUUAUAAGUCCUUUAACAAUUAGAAGUACAAACAUUUACAAUUUAACGGACAGUACGUCGUCAUAAGCUGAACAUGCGCUGCACGUACCGCUUCACACCGGGCACGUGCGCUGACGCUGUAGUACCAGUUUGGACUUUCGAUUUUUUCGCGUUAAAUUGCACUGAACGCUUGGGAUGCUAUCUAUCGACCAUAUCUAACAGAUUCCGGAGUUACAUGCAGUGCACACGUUCGUGUCGCGCGUUCGUCGAUCUGUACACGCAAACGCUGUCCGAAGACGACGGACAGUUCAAGAGAUUACGAUCGGAAAUCGGUUAGUA